rnacentral:tmRNA from 4 species
GGGGCCGAUCAGGAUUCGACGCCGGUAACGAAACUCUAGGUGCAUGCCGAGUUGGUAACAGAACUCGUAAAUCCACUGUUGCAACUUCUAUAGUUGCCAAUGACGAAACCUUCAACGACCAGGUAGCUCUGGCCGCUUAAUCGCGGUUAAGAAACUGCUCGUUCUGGCUACUUCGGUACCAGCAGUCACUAGGGGAUGCCUGUAAACCUGAACUGACUGUCAUACAGAACAGGAUCGCUGCGUAGUACGUCGUGGACGAAACAGCUAAAACUUACACGACUCGCCCAAAGCACCCUGCCCCUCGGGCGGCCGCGGGUUAACUCAGUAGAACGGGCUAAGCAUGUAGUACCGACAGCGGAGUACUGGCGGACGGGGGUUCAAAUCCCCCCGGCUCCACCA